CACGUAGUUAGCCGGCGCUUCUUCUGCAGGUACCGUCACCCGAAGGCUUCUUCCCUACCGAAAGCGGUUUACAACCCGAAGGCCGUCAUCCCGCACGCGGCGUCGCUGCAUCAGGCUUUCGCCCAUUGUGCAAUAUUCCCCACUGCUGCCUCCCGUAGGAGUCUGGGCCGUGUCUCAGUCCCAGUGUGGCCGGUCGCCCUCUCAGGCCGGCUACCCGUCAUCGCCUUGGUAGGCCAUCACCCCACCAACAAGCUGAUAGGCCGCGAGCCCAUCCCCCACCGCAAAAGCUUUCCACCACCCACCAUGCAGCAGGAAGUGAAUAUCCGGUAUUAGACCCCGUUUCCAAGGCUUAUCCCAGAGAGGAGGGCAGGUUGCUCACGUGUUACUCACCCGUUCGCCACUCACCACCCCAGCAAGCUGGAGUGAUCCGUUCGACUUGCAUGUGUUAAGCACGCCGCCAGCGUUCGUCCUGAGCCAGGAUCAAACUCU
rnacentral:rRNA from 1 species